AUUGAACGCUGGCGGCAUGCCUUACACAUGCAAAUCGAACGGUAACGGGCCUUCGGGUGCCGACGAGUGGCGAACGGGUGAGUAAUACAUCGGAACGUGCCCGAUCGUGGGGGAUAACGAGGCGAAAGCUUUGCUAAUACCGCAUACGAUCUACGGAUGAAAGCCGGGGACCGCAAGGCCUUGCGCGGACGGAGCGGCCGAUGGCAGAUUAGGUAGUUGGUGGGAUAAAAGCUUACCAAGCCGACGAUCUGUAGCUGGUCUGAGAGGAUGAUCAGCCACACUGGGACUGAGACACGGCCCAGACUCCUACGGGAGGCAGCAGUGGGGAAUUUUGGACAAUGGGCGCAAGCCUGAUCCAGCCAUGCCGCGUGCAGGAUGAAGGCCUUCGGGUUGUAAACUGAUUUUGUACGGAACGAAAAGCCUUCUUUUAAUACAGGAGGGUCAUGACGGUACCGUAAGAAUAAGCACCGGCUAACUACGUG
rnacentral:rRNA from 1 species